UUGAUAUCGCAAGAUGAAUUUAGUAUUGUACAAUUUGAUAGUUGGUGUGUUUUUACAUUUGUGAUUGUUGUUGGACUUAUUUGUAGGGUUAGGAUGAUAUAAAUUUGCAUAAUCUGCAAACUUAUGUAAAUUCGCUAGGCGAGAAUAUAUUUGCUACACGAAGUCAAAAUCAAAUAACUAAUGACUUAAUGGUCCACUGGGC
rnacentral:lncRNA from 1 species